rnacentral:rRNA from 1 species
GAUGAACGCUGGCGGCGUGCCUAAUACAUGCAAGUCGAGCGGUAACUCUUCGGGUGACGAGCGGCGGACGGCAGAGUAACGCGUAGGAAUGUACCCCAAACUGAGGGAUAACUGCCCGAAAGGGUAGCUAAUACCGCAUGUGAUCUUCGGAUUAAAGCUUUUAGCGGUUUGGGAACGGCCUGCGUAUGAUUAGCUUGUUGGUGAGGUAAUGGCUCACCAAGGCGACGAUCAUUAGCUGGUCUGAGAGGAUGAUCAGCCUGACUGGGACUGAGACACGGCCCAGACUCCUACGGGAGGCAGCAGUAGGGAAUUUUCCACAAUGGGCGAAAGCCUGAUGGAGCAACGCCGCGUGCAGGAUGAAUGCCUUCGGGUUGUAAACUGCUUUUGUUUGUGACGAUUAUGACGGUAACAAGCGAAUAAGGGUCUGCUAACUACGUGCCAGCCGCCGCCGUAA